rnacentral:rRNA from 1 species
UACGGAGGAUGCAAGCGUUAUCCGGAUUUAUUGGGUUUAAAGGGUGCGCAGGUUGCUUGAUAAGUCAGUGGUGAAAGUCUGUCGCUUAACGGUAGGAUUGCCAUUGAUACUGUUGGACUUGAAUAUGGAUGAGGUAGGCGGAAUGUGUAGUGUAGCGGUGAAAUGCAUAGAUAUUACACAGAACACCGAUUGCGAAGGCAGCUUACUAAUCCAUCAUUGACGCUGAGGCGCGAAAGCGUGGGGAGGCAAA